rnacentral:snoRNA from 1 species
GGCUUCCUGGUGCUUACCAUAGACUGUUCUCUUACACUGGCUGUACAGAAAAAGGAGGCGAAGUAAACCUACCCCAUGUAAACCUCAGCCCAGGCCUGUCCCUGGUCUGUGUUGUGAGUGGGGAGACCUGG